CCUACGGGUGGCAGCAGUGGGGCAUAUUGGGCAAUGGGCGCAAGCCUGACCCAGCAACGCCGCGUGAAUGAAGAAGGCUUUCGGGUUGUAAACUUCUUUUGUCAGGGAAGAGUAGAAGACGGUACCUGACGAAUAAGCCACGGCUACCUACGUGCCAGCAGCCGCGGUAAUACGUAGGUGGCAAGCAUUGUCCGGAUUUACUGGGUGUAAAGGGCGUGUAGCCGGGUUGACAAGUCAGAUGUGAAAUCCUGCGGCUUAACCGCAGAACUGCAUUUGAAACUGUUGAUCUUGAGUACUGGAGAGGCAGACGGAAUUGCUAGUGUAGCGGUGAAAUGCGUAGAUAUUAGGAGGAACACCAGUGGCGAAGGCGGUCUGCUGGACAGCAACUGACGGUGAGGCGCGAAAGCGUGGGGAGCAAACAGGAUUAGAUACCCCAGUAGUC
rnacentral:rRNA from 1 species